GGGAACCCUGAUCCAGCCAUGCCGCGUGUGUGAAGAAGGCCCUAGGGUUGUAAAGCACUUUCAGUGGGGAAGAAGGCAUGAUGAUUAAUACCCGUCAUGAAGGACAUCACCCACAGAAGAAGCACCGGCUAACUCCGUGCCAGCAGCCGCGGUAAUACGGAGGGUGCAAGCGUUAAUCGGAAUUACUGGGCGUAAAGGGCGCGUAGGCGGCUUGCCAAGCCGGAUGUGAAAGCCCCGGGCUCAACCCGGGAACGGCAUUCGGAACUGGCAGGCUAGAGUGCAGGAGAGGAAGGUGGAAUUCCCGGUGUAGCGGUGAAAUGCGUAGAGAUCGGGAGGAAUACCAGUGGCGAAGGCGGCCUUCUGGACUGACACUGACGCUGAGGCGCGAAAGCGUGGGUAGCAAACAGGAUUAGAUACCCUGGUAGUCCACGCCGUAAACGAUGUCGACCAGCCGUUGGACCCCUUGAGGGUUUGGUGGCGCAGUUAACGCAAUAAGUCGACCGCCUGGGGAGUACGGCCGCAAGGCUAAAACUCAAAUGAAUUGACGGGGGCCCGCACAAGCGGUGGAGCAUGUGGUUUAAUUCGAUGCAACGCGAAGAACCUUACCUGCUCUUGACAUCCUGCGAAUCUCCCAGAGAUGGGAGAGUGCCUUCGGGAGCGCAGAGACAGGUGCUGCAUGGCUGUCGUCAGCUCGUGUUGUGAAAUGUUGGGAUAAGUCCCGUAACGAGCGCAACCCCUAUUCCCUUUUUUGCCAGCGGUCCGGGCCGGGAACUUCAGGGAGACUGCCGGUGACUAAACCGGAGGAGGUGGGGACGACGUCAAGUCAUCAUGCCCCUUA
rnacentral:rRNA from 1 species